UACGGGGGGUGCGAGCGUUAAUCGGAAUUACUGGGCGUAAAGCGUGCGCAGGCGGUUCGUUAAGUCAGAUGUGAAAGCCCCGGGCUCAACCUGGGAACUGCAUUUGAAACUGGCGGGCUUGAGUGUGGCAGAGGGGGGUGGAAUUCCGCGUGUAGCAGUGAAAUGCGUAGAGAUGCGGAGGAACACCGAUGGCGAAGGCAGCCCCCUGGGCCAACACUGACGCUCAGGCACGAAAGCGUGGGGAGCAAACAGG
rnacentral:rRNA from 1 species